rnacentral:tRNA from 1 species
GGGGUUGUAGCUCAGUGGUAGAGCACUUGCCUAGCAUGUGAGAGGCACUGGGUUCAAUCCUCAGCACCUCA